AUACGGAGGGUGCAAGCGUUACUCGGAAUCACUGGGCGUAAAGCGCGCGCAGGCGGCUAUUUAAGUUGGAUGUGAAAGCCUACGGCUCAACCGUAGAACUGCAUCCAAAACUAUUUAGCUAGAGUGUGGGAGAGGAAGAUGGAAUUAGUUGUGUAGGGGUAAAAUCCGUAGAGAUAACUAGGAAUACCAAAAGCGAAGGCAAUCUUCUGGAACGCUACUGACGCUGAGGCGCGAAAGCGUGGGGAGCAAACGGGAUUAGAAACCCUAGUAGUCC
rnacentral:rRNA from 1 species